GAUGAACGCUGGCGGCGUGCCUAACACAUGCAAGUCGAACGGAGUCCAGCCUUUAAGACCUUCGGGUCAAAGAGGGGAAGCCUGAGUGGCGGACGGGUGAGUAACACUUGGGCAACCUGGCUCAUAGAGGGGGAUAACAGAGAGAAAUUUCUGCUAAUACCGCAUAAGCACACACUGCCGCAUGGCAGAGUGGGAAAAGAGAAUCGCUAUGAGAUGGACCCGCGUCUGAUUAGCCAGUUGGCAGGGUAAGAGCCUACCAAAGCGACGAUCAGUAGCCGAUCUGAGAGGAUGAACGGACACAUUGGGACUGAGACACGGCCCAAACUACUACGGGAGGCAGCAGUGGGGGAUAUUGCAAAAUGGGGGGAACCCUGAUGCAGCGACGCCGCGUGAGUGAAGAAGUAUUUCGGUAUGUAAAGCUCUAUCAGCAGGGAAGAUAAUGACAGUACCUGAAUAAGAAGCCCCGGCUAACUACGUG
rnacentral:rRNA from 1 species